rnacentral:miRNA from 2 species
UAUUGCAGACUUCUCAGACUACA